AAGAACAAAGGAAGAAAAGAAAGAACAAGAACCCUUGGUGGAAAAUUCAAGAGAAAAUUGGUGGAUUUCAAGUAAUCAAGCAAUCAAAGGUAAAAUUUCUUGAGUUUAGCUUGUGAUCUACCUUUCCCAUGCAUUCUUUUUCAUUUUCCAUGGUUGAGAAUCAAGUUUGCAUAAGGAUACCCUUGCUGGUCGGACAUGGGGGGAGGAGUUUUGAUGCUUGAUUUGGUUAGAUUUCAAUGUAUUUUAGUGUUUUUAGUUAGUUAGUGAUGUGUAGCAUGAAAAGCCAACAAGAAAAAUUCAUUUUCUCCCAUCACCAAUCAUUGGCCGAAUUUUCCUUGUAGAGUGUUGAUGGUGGAUUUAAUUUUAUUUCAAGUGAAUUGGUUAGGAAAUGAUGAAUUAUGGUGAGAAAAUCUAGGAAAAAUCAUAGUGUUGAUGCACUCACCAUGGCCGAAAUUCUUAAGAAGAAAUGUGAGGAUAGUUUUGCUAAAUUUUAUGUUAUUUGACUUGUGUUUGGUGAUUUAAAGAAUUGGGAGAAAAAUGGAAUUAAUUGGAGUUGAAUUGGACAUAUUGGCCAAUUAAUCGGGUGAUAGAUCGAAUUAGGCCAAUACCGAUUUAUUUUGGUACACAAUUGAAUUUGUGUAGAACAUCGUGUUUAGACGAUAAUUUGAACGAUUUGCAUUCCAUUUCAUGCAUUAGUAAAGAGCUUGAAAUAGAUUUAUAAUGGUAUGACACAAUAUAUUAAAUUGUGUGUCGUGUAUUGUAUAUAGGUGGUGAGCCCUCUAACAAGGGUAAAGACGUUGUGUCAGAGGACUGAGAAUAGGAAUAUUUCAAACUCCUGAUACAGUGAGUAACCUUAUCAUCAUCUUGAUUAUCUGAAGUGAAUUUUAAUUCAUUUUUGUGAUUUUAUGAAAAAUGAGUUUAAAUGGUUAAUUUUUAGGUUUUAUAAGCAAAACUGUGAUUAAAUGAAAUGAUUUUAUAAAAUUGUCUUGAAAUUGAAUGAUGGUUUUGAAAAUGGAGUAAUUGGAGACUAAUUGCUGUGUUAUAAAUCAUGGUUUGAAUUGAAUGGCUUAUGAUAAUAUUGGCAUGAAUGGUUGAAUUAGUAAAUGUGCUGAAAAUGUAUGAACUAUUAAUUUGCCUUGAGAGGCUGUAAAAUAAAAUAAUUGCCAUGUAAUGCUAUUGAAUUUUAUUGAAUUGGUGGGUUAUAUAUUGGUCACUGCAGUGGACAGGUUUCGUGGACCAGCCUAUUAAAGGGGCACGGUAACCCUAUUAUAUUCUUACCUCAGUAUGAGGGGCGCGGAUGGAUAACUCUUGAGGUUAACACUUUGGAGUUCACUUCACGCUAAACCACCAUGUGAGGGUGAACUCAUCCAACGCCAAGGAACGGCUAUGUUUUCUAAAUAAAAACAUGAUUUAUGUGUACAUAACUUUUUAACAGCCUUGGUGGACUCGGUUGGGAUAACGCUAGGCCAAGGUAUCCCUAAUAUCUAAGUAUGAGAAUGAUUUUGGCACAAGCCAAACUUUUUAGGAAAUCAUAAGCCUCGUUGUUUAUUUUGGUGAAAUGAAUCUAUUUUAUCUUAUUAAAAUGAGUUCAAAAUGUUGAGAAUCAUUUUUAUACUCAACUAUUUUAUCUGUCUCUAUUUACUCAGCUUUAGAUAUUUUAGAUGGUAUUUGUUUACUCAUUGGGAUUUUAUAAUCUCACCACC
rnacentral:lncRNA from 1 species